ensembl:snoRNA
GUAUGAAAACACAUAAUACAAAAUAAAAUGACCUCACUUUAAAUGGGUAUGAUAGUAUGCUGUUUUUUCACAGCAUCCCAUUAUUAAAAGUGGAGACAGAU